UCAAAUUGAUGCAAUUUUGUACGUUGACUUCGCAGCAGGUCUUCGAGCCUCGUUGAGCUGAACGUGUACUUGUUGAAGCUGGUUUGGAAGUUGUUCUACCCUAAGCAAGAAGGUGUUUGACCCUUGGACCGCCUUCGUUUGGCCUUGGAGGGCCUUCUGGAAGCUUAACGUGAGCAGGAUUGCGACCUAGUGGAGCUGAACUUUGGAACUCCUUGGACUGUUUUGGAGCCUAGUACUAGAGCCAUCUACAGGAGAGGCUAGGGAUCGUGGCAAGGGAGUCGCGCCUAGCUAGGGACUACUAGGAGCGUGCUAGUCGAUCACCUUGUUGCUCGGGCUACGGCCGAGGGUGAUGUCCCUAUGUAUAGAGAAACCACCUUUGUAUCUAUCCUAUUUUUGUAUCCUCGUGAUGUAUAUGUACUACUUGGACCGUGAACUACAGUUGUGAUACUUCUCUUUUGUCGAGAUUUUGGGAUUGUACACUCUU